rnacentral:rRNA from 1 species
CAGACAUGAGUGCGGAGAAGGUAAGUGGAGUUUCUUAUUGUUAGCCGUGAAAUAGUAGAUUAUUAGGAGGAGACACCCAGUGCGAAGGCGGCGUUACUGGACCGUAACUGACGAUGAGGCUCGAAAGCAUGGGGAGCAAACAGAAUUAGAUACCCUGGUAGUUCACGCCGUAAACGAUGAUUAUUAGGUGUCGGGGGACCAAGGUCUUCUGGUGCCGGCGCAAACACAUUAAGUAAUCCACCUGGGGAGUACGUUCGCAAGAAUGAAACUCAAAGGAAUAGACGGGGACCCGCACACGCGGUGGAGCAUGUGGUUUAAUUUGAAGCAACGCGAAGAACCUUACCUGGUCUUGACAUCCGGACGCCGUAUGGGCAAAGCCAUAUUUCUUUUGGGACGUCCGAGACAGGUGGUGCAUGGUUGUCGUCAGCUCGUGUCGUGAGAUGUUGGGUUAAGUCCCGCAACGAGCGCAACCCCUGUUUCCAGUAGCCAGCAUAUAAAGAAGGGCACUCUGGAGAGACUGCCCGGGAUAACCGGGAGGAAGGCGGGGAGGACGUCAUAUCAUCAUGCCCCUUAUGAUCAGGGCUACACACGUGCUACAAUGGCGUAAACAAAGGGAAGAGAGACGGUGACGUUGAGCAAAUCCCAGAAAUAACGUCCCAGUUCGGAUUGUAGUCUGCAACCCGCCUACAUGAAGCUGGAAUCGCUAGUAAUCGCGAAUCAGAAUGUCGCGGUGAAUACGUUCCCGGGUCUUGUACACACCCCCCGUCA